AUUUAACCCACGCUGACGGAUGCUCCUCGCCAGUCCGUUAAUCACCCCUCAGGGGGUACGAUCCGGGGUUUGUGCCUGCCACCUGCCUGUCCUCUUGCUUGCUUGGAUCACCCAGUGCAUCAUCUGUCCUCAUCCCUGCCUCCUCGGAUUCGUUUCCCAUGGACACACUUCCCCCCCCUUCCGAGUCCCACAGUCCUGCUCUGAUCCCUCCCACGGUCCUGAUUACGGCUUCCCUGUGUCGUUUAUCUUCUCGGUUUUUCUUCAGUUCCUCGUUUUGUUUCUUUGAUUGUUCCGGGUCACCUUUUGUUAAAGCAAUAAACUGUUUUCUUGCUC